rnacentral:rRNA from 1 species
GACGAACGCUGGCGGCGUGCUUAACACAUGCAAGUCGAACGGAAAGGCCCUGCUUUUGUGGGGUGCUCGAGUGGCGAACGAGCGAGUAACACGUGAGUAACCUGCCCUUGACUUUGGGGUAACUUCCGGAAACUGGGGCUAAUACCGGAUACGAGCUCCUGCUGCAUGGUGGGGGUUGGAAAGUUUCGGCGGUUGGGGAUGGACUCGCGGCUUAUCAGCUUGUUGGGUGGGUAGUGGCUUACCAAGGCUUCGGCGGGUGGCCGGCCUGCGAGGGUGACCGGCCAUCUUGGGGCUGGGGAACGGGCCCGACCCCUACGGGAGGCAGCAGGGGGGGAUUUUGCACCAUGGGCGGAAGCCUUAUGCAGCAACGCCGCGUGCGGGAUGGCGGGCUUCUGGUUGUAGACCGCUUUCGCCGGUGACGGAGCGUUAGUGACGUUAAUGGGUAAAGAAGCACCGGCUAACUACGUG